GCCAUUUAAACGCGCGGGACCUGUGUGGCUGGAGGCGGUUGGGCUCCUCAGUGGUGCUGUUGUUGCCUUGUGCCUAAGUCAGACUCUGGAAGGAAGCCCACCAGCCUAACUCUUUUGUGCACUCCACUAACACACUGCUCACAUUUCAUUGAUACCCAGGAAGUGUGGAAGAAAGGAGGAAGGAGGAUGUGAAUCCCAAGGAGACAUGCCGUAAUUUAUCAAGACUGGGAGUGAAGAUUGAGAAGACGAGUUGUAAGAAGAAUCUCUCUGGUUCUUCCAGACCCGCAGAUGAGGAAGGCCUCUCAUUCAACUCCAGCUGUAAUUUCAUGAUGUAGAAUGUGUGGACAAGUAUAAAUGUCCAUCAGUUGAAGAGCUUCAUGAAAAGGGGGAUGGGUGUAUGGCUCUAGAUAGAGUUUCUUCCACAUGGGACCAGCAUCUGAAGGAACAAUUAAAGCAUAGUAUCAAGGACCUGGAUGUUUUCACAGUUCUUCAGCGAUAGUUUAGGAAAUGUACUUUAGCCAAGAACAAACAGCAAGGGGAUAGUUUGGCCUGGAAACAUUGAUCAUAUAUCUCUUAAUUUAUCUUACAGUGGUCUAGUAUUCACAGCCUCAUAAUUCAUGAAGGCUGUUUCUUCCAGUCCUUUGUAGACAGCUUGGCUUCACUCUUAGCAAAAGGGCCAGGGAUUUAUAAUCUGCUGCUCUUGGAGACACUGUGAUGUCUUUAAAAUGCUUUUAAAGACUGUUAUAGAGACUUCAUUUUCUCCUUCUGCAGCCAGUUUGGGCGUACUAAUGGCAGGCAUAAUGACAACUGGGCCUGAUCUGCCAUGCAUUUGUCAAAUGGUGACCCACCAAUAACUUUGGAGGUCUUCACAUGACCUCUUUAUAGUGUUGUACCAGUUACCAUUAGUAGGUGUUUUCCUCAGCCCAUCACUGCAAGAGGUGGGUAGGGCUAUGACUGCAUUAUCUUCUGUGCCUCGGGAGCAGUCCUUAAAACAAGCAAACAAACACAUACACACACACCUUUCAGUUCUGGUAUUAUUCCCCUACACAUCCACCUAAAUAUAUGCUCCCAGUGACCCCAGUGCAGCCUCAGUGGGCUGGGUUCCAAGGGAGGAAAUAGGCACCUUCUAUUCCCAGGAUUUCUCUAGUUCCCAUUAGCUUCUCCUUUCUACAUCAGUUGCUCUGCUAUGCACUGCAUGUAGCAAAUGUUGCUGUGAAAGUCCCUAAGAAAGCCACUGCAGAGGUCCUACUAAAGAGACAUUUUCUUCUAGCUGCUUAAUUUUUCCCCUCCAGCAUUCUCUCCUCCUCCCCAAGUCACUGGUAUCCACACAGCUCCCAGCCACCAGCACCCCUCUACCUCUAAGAGACAGCCCUUACUCUGACACCUUUGUGCCUGCAUCCAAGUCACAGUGUCAUAAACCCAGCUAUUGAGCUCAGUAAUUGAAUCCCCUUUCACUCAGCCUGCCUCUUCCAACAGUGAGGCAUCUCUGCUCCUGAGAGUAGAGUGUUCUUGGUGCCAGAGGGUAUAUGACCACCCUCUGGCCUUCAUGGUUGUUUCCUCACUAUGCCCUCCUACUGUAUGACUUUGUGUAAGACAGCAUAAGGCUGCUAGCUCAUGAGUAGGACUGGUCUGAGGACAUCAUUUCAAUGACUGCUCUGUGUUCCUGGGCACCUCCGGGCCAAAUGGUUUAGCUCAAGAGAAGAGACUUUCUGGGAGCACUGACCUGCUUGCGCUGGGCAUGCAGGUGCUGCCUUCUCCUGGAGCAGGUACUGCCUCCAUACAGUGAGCUGGGAGCACCGCGGGCCCUUGCUGCACACUGCUCAGAGUUUGGAGAGGUGGCUUGUUUCAGCUCAGGUGCUUGGAGUGCAGCUCCACAGUGACAGGAGUAAGGUGGGAAACAGCUAGAGGAGCAAGAAAAAUGACUGUGGGAUGGGUGCAGGAAUGGGAGGAUCUCUUAAAGCAAUGCAUGUAGAAUCACAUCCUAAGAGUUUUAGCUACAAAGCUCUGGCAGUUAAGCAGUAACAUUAUAGAUUCUUCUGCAGUCCUGCCAGAAGUGUAGGUUGAGAAUAGCCUACAUGUUAUCAGCUCACCUUCAAAUACACAAAAUAAAACAAGAACAUUGCAGAAAGAA